rnacentral:lncRNA from 1 species
AGAUAAAUUAAAAACCAGCCCCAAGUUUCCUAUCAACUAGUUGAGCGAUCAAAAUUAAUAACCUAAAACAGCGAUACCCCAAAAAGAUAACAGGAUUAAAGGUAGGGAACACUCAAUGAUGAAGCUAAUAGUGAAACUAUCUAAACUAACCUUGACAAUAUCAGUGAUAGGCCCAAUGUUCCCCUGUGCAACUUCUCCAGAGUUGGCAACGGCACAUUCCUGAAACAUCGGAUAAAUAAUCAAGGUUACCUAAUAAAUAAUCAAUACAUAGUAUUUACCAGGCAAUUAAUUCUGAUACAAAUAUUUUACAGCUUAUUCAUGUUAAACAAUAUUUAUCGGGCAAUAUGGUACUAUCACAGAACCACUUGCCUUGUUAGAACCAGCAUCGCCCAACGGGUCUCCACUACCUCCAGUAGGCCGCCCCUGGAUAUGACAUUAGCAAACCUCAAAUUUGGACUCAUUGGCUGGAUGUAACAAUGGGCAGAUCACAUUACAUAUAAGGUAUUUAUACUAUUGUAGCGAAAAGAACCCUAAAACUAUAAAAAUACUGUAACAGUAUCGUUAUCGGAUAAUUUAUAUUCAUACUAAAUAACGGUAUCGUUAUCGGGUAAUUUAUAAUCAUACUAAAUAACAGUAUGUAUAUAGACUAAACCGACAAGAGUGUGGGGGGGGGAAUAAACGCAUGCAGUGGUUAGGGCGGGCUGAAACAAAAGCUGGGCAAUAUAAAGAAGGAGUUUAUAUAGAAGAAUGUACCGGACAGUUAUUGCCUUCCUCAACCUCACCGACCAAGGGGAUCUUAUCAACGGUUUCACUAUUAAUUCCCACCCUGGGGUCGACGUCACCACCAAGUUCACCACAGGAAGACGCCUGUUCGAAAUAAAAUAUACAAAUAUCAAGAAAUAAUACAAAAAUCGACUGUGUAAACAGAAGGUAAGUAAGCUGUUAUAUGAUAUUUAAAAUUAUAUCAAACAACGGUCAAUCAAACCGGUAAAAUAACCAUCAUCAAUAUCAAAUAGAAAAAGAUGGAAAUAUUUAUAAAAAACUUGCCUUGGGAGACAUAGCAGAUUCAAGCUGUUCCGCAUCCCCGCCAGAACGCUGCAGCAAGUUUGUAAAGGUUAUAUAUGGCAAACGGAGAAACCAACAUUGGGUGAAGAAAAUUAUAUGUGUGUAAUAGAGACCUCGGACUGAUUGGGUGGAUAAUGC